rnacentral:lncRNA from 1 species
GAAAAUUAGAAUCAAAUUCAACAAUAGAUUAGUUGUUUGCUUCUCUGAGUCUCUGUAGUGUCGUCCCCAAUUUUUUCUUCUUCACACCAUGUUCUUUAGUGCUCGCCAUCGUCAUCCCCAAAUAUGAGAGUAUUUUUCUUCGCUAUUCAACAAUAGUCGUCUGACUCUCUAGCCGCUUGCCGUUUGCACUCUACAAUCCCCAACAAUCACAG